GGAGCUGACUGGGUAGUCGCUGCUUUGUUGAUGUCCUUCGGGAGACUGACGUUGAGGUCCUUCGGGAAACUGACGUUGACGUCCUUCGGGAGACUGAUAAAGGGGAGGAAAGUCCGGGCUUCAUAGAGCAAGGUGCCAGGUAACGACCGCCGAUGGCCCGCAAGGGAACAGGUAAGGGUGAAAGGGUGCGGUAAGAGCGCACCGGACGACUAGUAAUAGUUCGUAGCAGGGUAAACUCCACCUGAAGCAAGACCAAAUAGGCCUCCACAUUGCGUUGCUCGCGUAAGGAGGCGGGUAGGUUGCUCGAGCCAGUGAGUGAUUGCUGGCCUAGACGAAUGGCUACCGCCGCGCAAGCGGAACAGAACCCGGCUUAUGUGUCGGCUCCACCU
rnacentral:RNase_P_RNA from 1 species